CUACGGGGGGCACCAGUGAGGAAUAUUGCACAAUGGAGGAAACUCUGAUGCAGCAACGCCGCGUGGAGGAUGACGCAUUUCGGUGUGUAAACUCCUUUUAUAUGUCAAGAAAAUGACGGUAGCAUAUGAAUAAGCACCGGCUAACUCCGUGCCAGCAGCCGCGGUAAUACGGAGGGUGCAAGCGUUACUCGGAAUCACUGGGCGUAAAGGACGCGUAGGCGGGAUAUCAAGUCAGGUGUGAAAUCCUACAGCUUAACUGUAGAACUGCACUUGAAACUGGUAACCUAGAGUAUGGGAGGGGGAGAUGGAAUUAGUGGUGUAGGGGUAAAAUCCGUAGAUAUCACUAGGAAUACCUAAAGCGAAGGCGAUCUCCUGGAACAUAACUGACGCUAAGGCGUGAAGGCGUGGGGAGCAAACAGGAUUAGAUACCCCCGUAGUC
rnacentral:rRNA from 1 species